rnacentral:rRNA from 1 species
UACGAAGGGUCCAAGCGUUAUCCGGAUUUAUUGGGUUUAAAGGGUGCGUAGGCGGCUUAUUAAGUCAGUGGUGAAAGACUUCAGCUUAACUGAAGAACUGCCAUUGAUACUGAUGAGCUUGAAUAUACUUGAGGUUGGCGGAAUGUGUCAUGUAGCGGUGAAAUGCUUAGAUAUGACACAGAACACCGAUUGCGAAGGCAGCUAGCUAAAGUAUGAUUGACGCUGAUGCACGAAAGCGUGGGGAGCAAACAGG